UUGGUUAUAAGAUAUAACAGCCUUUUCUAAUUGGCUGAAUUCAAAUACAGAAAGUUUACCUGUUAGAUUGAAACAUGAAACAUGGUGGACAAUGUACUGGUUUAACUUGUUAAAAUAAAGUUAAAGAAAUUUAACAAACAGAAGAGUUCAUUAGUUUUUCCAUUAAAAACACUUUCUUAAAAUACUUAUGUAUUUAUAUCAUUUGGAAAGUGACAUGAAAUAUUGCUAAAGAGUGAUGCAUACAGUGUUUGAGCAGUCUGUCUAGGAAUAGAACAACAACUGAAGUUGAUGGAAGAUACUGCAGAGUUUGGCAGGGAAAUAAUCCAACAGCAAAGCGGCUCUUUAAGCGCAUUUACCUAGAUCGAGGACUUACAGGGCCACAAAUUCAUGAGCACAUGUGAGCAGUAUACAAUGUACCUCAUACCAAAAAGGACCCGGAGGCAGUGACUGGUGUUCAAUAUUCUCAGAAGAAAUGGAAAAUGGCAGUGGAAGACUUGGACAAACAUUUUUUUUAACUAGCCUCUGUGUUAAGCCUGGCAGUCUGUGGCUGGUGACAUGUUUUAUUUUGGUUACUUCUUGUAUAAAAAGACCAGUUAUUUAUUUUGUGAAUUGUAU